rnacentral:sRNA from 1 species
CAGACACCUGGUGCUUCAUCGACUGGACCACCAACGUGACGGCGCACGCCGCCUACUCCUACAUGUACGCGGGCUUCAGCUCCUUCCUCAUUCUCGCCACCGUCCUCUGCAACGUGCUCGUGUGCGGCGCGCUGCUCCGCAUGCACCGCCAGUUCAUGCGCCGCACCUCGCUGGGCACCGAGCAGCACCACGCGGCCGCGGCCGCCGUGACCUCGGUUGCCUCCCGGGGCCACCCCGCUGCCUCCCCAGCCUUGCCGCGCCUCAGCGACUUUCGGCGCCGCCGGAGCUUCCGCCGCAUCGCGGGCGCCGAGAUCCAGAUGGUCAUCUUACUCAUUGCCACCUCCCUGGUGGUGCUCAUCUGCUCCAUCCCGCUCGUGGUGCGAGUAUUCGUCAACCAGUUAUAUCAGCCAAGUUUGGAGCGAGAAGUCAGUAAAAAUCCAGAUUUGCAGGCCAUCCGAAUUGCUUCUGUGAACCCCAUCCUAGACCCCUGGAUAUAUAUCCUCCUGAGAAAGACAGUGCUCAGUAAAGCAAUAGAGAAGAUCAAAUGCCUCUUCUGCCGUAUUGGC